rnacentral:rRNA from 1 species
GACGAACGCUGGCGGCGUGCUUAACACAUGCAAGUCGAACGGAAAGGCCCUGCUUGUGUGGGGUGCUCGAGUGGCGAACGGGUGAGUAACACGUGAGUAACCUGCCCUUGACUUUGGGAUAACUUCAGGAAACUGGGGCUAAUACCGGAUAGGAGCUCCUGCUGCAUGGUGGGGGUGGGAAAGUUUAGGCGGUUGGGGAUGGACUCGCGGCUGAUGAGCUUGUUGGUGGGGUAGUGGCUUACCAAGGCUUGGACGGGUAGCCGGCCGGUGAGGGUGACCGGCCUCAAUGGGACUACGAUACGGACCAGACUCGUACGGGAGGCAGCAGUGGGGAAUAUUGCACAAUGGGCGGAAGCCUGAUGCAGCGGCGCCGCGUGCGGGAUGCCGGCCUUCGGGUUGUGAACCGCUUUCGCCUGUGACGCAGCGUGAGUGACGGUAAUGGGUAAAGAAGCACCGGCUAACUACGUG